UACAGGGGGUGCUAGCGUUGUUCGGAAUUACUGGGCGUAAAGGGCGCGUAGGCGGCUUAACAAGUCAGGUGUGAAAUCUCGGGGCUUAACUCCGAAAGUGCAUUUGAAACUGGCAGGCUAGAGUUUGGCAGAGGGGGGUGGAAUUCCACGUGUAGCAGUGAAAUGCGUAGAGAUGUGGAGGAACACCGAUGGCGAAGGCAGCCCCUGGCCAAACUGACGCUCAGGCACGAAAGCGUGGGGAGCAACAGG
rnacentral:rRNA from 1 species